CCUGAGAACGUGGGCCAGCUACAAACACCCCACCUCCUGGAGGGACCCUGCGGAGGGAGGCUCCCCAAAUCACUGCCCUCCCCCCCGCCCGGGCCAAGCCGACCCCGCCCCCGACCACGACCAUUCCCCUAGUUGGCCCAGAGGCAAACACGUCUCAAGUCUCCUUAGCUUCUCUCCCAACCCCCCAUAUAUGAGUUAGCCUGUUGUUUUUUUUCUUUUUCCCCCCUCCUCUGCCACGUUAAAACUGUUUCGCUCCCAUUUCCCUACCCCGCCUUCUUUUCCUCUUUCUUCCCUCCUCCUCUCUAUCGACGUGUCUCUUUCAGGCUAUUUUUAGGGGAGCUCUAUAUAAAGGUCCCGAGAAAGUGAGGGCCAGGCACUAAGACGUGGCACUUGGGCCCCUACAGGCAGCGAAACCUGCAGACUCCAGGUAAAUAGGCCAUUAAUCUACAAUUAAAGUUGCCACGUAAGCUCAACCAAACUUCCAGUGUAAAAUGUAUCAUUAUAAACCAAUGUUGUCAUUUCAGUAGCUUUCUUGAACCCUUUCAACUUUUAUAACAGUUUCUUCCUCCUUCCAAUGAAGGAUCACAGUCAUGUUCAACUCUUCAUGACCCCAUUUGGGGUU